rnacentral:rRNA from 1 species
UACGAAGGGGGCUAGCGUUGUUCGGAAUUACUGGGCGUAAAGGGCGCGUAGGCGGUCCUUCAAGUCAGGCGUGAAAGCCCCAGGCUUAACCUGGGAACUGCAUUCGAGACUGCAUUGCUAGAGUAUGGGAGAGGGAAGUGGAAUUUCCGGUGUAGCGGUGAAAUGCGUAGAUAUCGGAAGGAACAUCAGUGGCGAAAGCGACUUCCUGGACCAAUACUGACGCUCAGGUGCGAAGGCGUGGGGAGCAAACAGG